rnacentral:rRNA from 1 species
CCUACGGGUGGCAGCAGUGGGGAAUAUUGGACAAUGGGGGGAACCCUGAUCCAGCCAUGCCGCGUGUGUGAAGAAGGCCCUCGGGUUGUAAAGCACUUUCAGUGAGGAAGAACGCCUGGUGGUUAAUACCCAUCAGGAAAGACAUCACUCACAGAAGAAGCACCGGCUAACUCCGUGCCAGCAGCCGCGGUAUUACGGAGGGUGCGAGCGUUAAUCGGAAUUACUGGGCGUAAAGCGCGCGUAGGUGGCUUGAUAAGCCGGUUGUGAAAGCCCCGGGCUCAACCUGGGAACGGCAUCCGGAACUGUCAAGCUAGAGUGCAGGAGAGGAAGGUAGAAUUCCCGGUGUAGCGGUGAAAUGCGUAGAGAUCGGGAGGAAUACCAGUGGCGAAGGCGGCCUUCUGGACUGACACUGACACUGAGGUGCGAAAGCGUGGGUAGCAAACAGGAUUAGAUACCCUGGUAGUC